rnacentral:rRNA from 1 species
CAGAGGGUGCGAGCGUUAAUCGGAAUUACUGGGCGUAAAGCGUGCGUAGGCGGUUAUUUAAGUCGGGUGUGAAAGCCCCGGGCUCAACCUGGGAAUUGCAUUCGGGACUGAAUAGCUAGGGUACGGUAGAGGGAAGUGGAAUUUCCGGUGUAGCGGUGAAAUGCGUAGAUAUCGGAAGGAACAUCAGUGGCGAAAGCGACUUCCUGGACCAGUACCGACGUUCAGGCACGAAAGCGUGGGGAGCAAACAGGAUUAGAUACCCUGGUAGUCCACGCCAUAAACGAUGAGGACUAGACGUUGGAGGGGUAAGCCUUUCAGUGUCGUAGCUAACGCGCUAAGUCCUCCGCCUGGGGAGUACGGCCGCAAGGUUG